UCGUGCCUCCUCUCGGGCGCUCCUCGGCGGGGAGCCUGGGGGCCGCGGCGCUCCCCGCUUGCACGUGCUGCCUCCGCCGCCCCGCCAGACAAAUCGGGGCCUUCCCGGGCGCGUUUCCUUGGCGCCCCCCUUCGCUCGACGAGCCCUUUGAUUUCUUCCCACUCUGGCCUUCAUCUCUCACUUCGUUCCACCCCUCUCAACUGCCUCCUGGAGUGCCUUCUUUUGUGCUCGCCACCUCAAGUUUGGCCGUCUCUCCAAAGCUUUGCCUUUAGAAACGACUCCAUGUGACCUCCCCUCCCCCACCGUCUCCUGUGGCGGCGUACAUUCGCUAUCUGGGCCACCGCUCCCCUCUCCUCGCGGUAGUCAGCGCCACGUUACCGUUUCUAUUGUCCUCUCCCCUUCCUAUCAGAACCCCCUGUCUGUCCUCGGCCUUUUCAAGACUCUUCCAGAAACUCUUGACGUCUCUGUCCUCUGGUUUCUUUUCCACUAUUUUUUCUCUCAGGGCUGUGGGACGGCAGAAGAGAAGUGGCAGAUGGCUACCUAGGUUGAGUCCUCUUGUAUCGCACUAACACCAUCCUUUUUUCUGCCACCUGAAAUCUCAUUAUUUGGGCACCACGGGCGCGGCUGUGAGGGUUCUGCUGCUGUUGCCGCCAUUAGUAGUCUCCUUGCUUGGGAGCUCAAGUAAAGGACACUUCUGGGCACUGGCCAGAGACCCUUGAAGUGCACCUUGAGGACUAAACAUCUCUCUUAUUCCAUCCCUGCGUGGUCACUCUUGCUUUGUUUCAUACACUAUCUGCCUCUUCCCACCUCUAGCCUCCCUUCACCCCUACUGCCCCCACCCCCGAACCACAUUGUUCAUCCCUUGGCACCAGCUGUAGAAGAGGAAAGGGCAGGUCCUCUUCCCCAGGAAGGAAGGUGGGGCAGAGUAGCUCCCGCAGGAAGGGAAGGAAAAAGGAGGGAAGGAAGGAAGUGGCCAACAGAAGAAGGUGGAAUCCGGUGGGAGGGCUCCUCAUUGUUUUAACUUCUUUCCUUUUUAGUCCUACAAAGUCAAGCCCAAGGCCAUCCCAGCACCCACGUUCUGCUGCCAUCUCUCAGAACCCCAGCUGGGACUCCCAGACUGAGCCUGGAGGGGGCAGAGGUCCAACAAGUCAGAUUUUAUGUUGCUUUUUCUCAAAAAGGAAAAGAAAAAAAGAGUAGAACUAUGCCUCACUUAAGGAAAAUGUGUCUGACAUUUCCUGAGGACCUUCUACAUGUGAAUCUGCUCUUACACUGUAAUAUUUCACAUGUACGUAGGGCUAAAGUUUAUAAAGAGCUCUCACUUACACUACCUCAUCUCAGCUGUUAUUAUCACCCCUACUUGGUCCCUUUCACCCACUGACUUUAAAACUCAGCCUUUCAAGGAAUAAAUAUUCAUCAGUAUUACUUUCCAAUAUUUCCACCACCUGUUUUCUGGCCUAGGCUUAGGGCCAAAUGCAGGCCCCAGGAGCAUAGGCAAGGAGAAGUUUCCAUCCAUUGUAGGCCUGUGGUCCAGUACUAAAGGUGCUUAGCUAUAGACUAAAAUAAAUUUGUCAUGUGUUUUGUAUGAUA